AUUGCCGAUUACGGCACAGGUGUCAGCGUAAGCUGACGAAUAGGGAAUUCGGUGCCGCUGCUUCUGGCCCUUAAUAAGGCCGGUGCAGCCAGUCCGAAGCUGCCCCCGCAACUGUCAGCGGUGAGCCGUUGUCCACAAUGCCACUGGGCCCAGGCCUGGGAAGGCGGGCAACGGCGUUGAUCCGCGAGCCAGGAGACCUGCCUGAGCCCGUCAUCCUUC
rnacentral:ncRNA from 2 species